UUAUGGAUUCUGACCUGCAGAGUCUGUGUGUUGUGGCUGAAGAUGAGAACAAAUGCACACAGACUACAGAAGUCCUGUGGAGAAAAAGGGACAGUACAGGUACUCUCUUAACAUGAGAGUCCUAUGGCUGCUUCUCUCAAGGGAAGAGUGCCCAGACCCUUGCCUGGACAGGCUUUUAUUAUUUUUCUCAGGUCUUAUUAUCUAUUACAUAGAAUGUUGUUGUCUACAUUUUAGGUACAAUCAAGGAAAUGAAAAUAACAA